UACGUAGGGUGCGAGCGUUGUCCGGAAUUAUUGGGCGUAAAGAGCUCGUAGGCGGUCUGUCGCGUCGAUCGUGAAAACUUGGGGCUUAACCCUGAGCUUGCGGUCGAUACGGGCAUGACUGGAGUUCGGCAGGGGAGACUGGAAUUCCUGGUGUAGCGGUGAAAUGCGCAGAUAUCAGGAGGAACACCGGUGGCGAAGGCGGGUCUCUGGGCCGGUACUGACACUGAGGAGCGAAAGCGUGGGUAGCAAACAGG
rnacentral:rRNA from 1 species